rnacentral:tRNA from 1 species
GCUUCUGUAGCUCAGUUGGUUGGAGCGCUGCACCGGAAUCGCGGGACUGUAGGUUCAAUUCCUACCAGAGGAC